rnacentral:rRNA from 1 species
AAGCCGACCUAGGCUCAUCUCAGAGUGUGAGGUCUUACGAUCCCCCACUUUGGUCUCUCGACGUCAUGCGGUAUUAAUCAGGGUUUCCCCUGGCUAUCCCCCGCUCUGAGGCAGAUUCCUAUGUAUUGCUCACCCGUCCGCCGCUCGCCGGCACCCUUGCGGGCCCGCUGCCGCUCGACUUGCAUGUGUUAGGCACGCCGCCAGCGUUCAAUCUGAGCCAGGAUCAAACUCU